GAAUUAGGAAACAUUCAUGGCAGAAAGCAGUGCUAGAAGGGGUCAAAUUGGGGGUUGUAAUCGGGGAUUACACCGAGCACCGAAAUCACCGCACCGAAAACAAUUAACCCGGCACCAAAUCGAUGAAAAAGCUCCCCGAUCAACGCGGGGCCGAGUCCUUGGUAUUUGGUAUUUGGCGAAUAGGUAGGUCUUCUCGGCAAAAAAAUUGGAUCCGGUGAGUAACGGUUAUUGAGACUUUAUGCCACUGUCUACCCGGGUUUUACGGGGGUAACACCAUUCUGAAACCGGUUCCAUUACCCGUUUUUUAAACCCGGUUAUCCCCGAUUUCCUACCCGAUUACCCGGUUUUACCCACGUAAUUAAGCCAUGUGCUUUCAAUUUCCGCCACUAGAUGGCAUUAAUCGAUCAGGAAACCCACUUUUUGGCUACCCUCCCUUUUUUUUAGUUGACGCCCUCCAAGCCGCUAUUUUUCACAACCUAUUCUCAGUUAGCGACGCUAACCACUGCUGCCGCGGCAACAUGUACUAACUAGGUACUAACUAGGUCGUACGUGUAUCACGGUACCCUAUGCUUAUACACUGUGUACGGAAUACCACCUUCGUUUGUUUGUUUUUUUCGUGCUCAGAAUUGUUUCUUUCCGUCGUCUGCCAUAUUCGGAAUUUUGACGGUAUUAAUUUCAAAUUUUUUGGUGUGGAUUUAAUUCUUUUAAUGGAAGAAGAAAGAAGAAAACUCUACAAUCCUAGAAAAAGGGAAAAAUAUCGUAAAAGUCAAAAGUGCAAAAAAAACAUUCGGACAGAGCCAGAUUCCGACGAGUCUAGUGAAAUGGAAAAAAAAGGAUUGAAACAAAAAAAUUCACCACUGAGAAAGCUGAAAAAUAAGAUGAAGUGCAAAGAAAGCACGAAAAACGUUACAACACUACACUUCGUUGACGAGGAUAACAUAGCAAUUGAAGUCCUAACGGAAAGACUUGAAAUGGUGACAGACAAUCAAAGUAAUUUUAGCCUUUCAAGAGAAGCAGACCCAAUGCCAAAUCAAAAUUACAUUUAUUCAAGACCUGAAGGUUUAAUACAGGAAUUCUACGAAACAGAAAGCCAUGGAUCUAUGGUAGAGGAAAAUAAUAGACCAGAGGGAGUUACUUGCCUGUCUGAAUGGCAAGUAUUCAAUUUCAAUUUCAUAAAAAAAAUGGAAUGAAAUGAGACCAAUUUAUUCUGAAGCUCGCACAAGUACAGAAUGUCCUGAUUUAGAUUGCUGCACUAUUUGCUGUAGCUCUGCAAGCAACUAUGCUGUUUGUUGUAGCACAUGCAAAAGGGAAUUGUGUGUUUCAUGUGACAAAAAUUUUCAUUUAUCACGUCCUUUUCAUCAACGGACUUUUUACAUAAAGGAUACAGUUUCAUCCCGUAUGCUAUUGCCUACAAACUUUGUUGACUGUGAUACCCGUGAAAUCACUGUUCUAAGAAUGAUUCACAUUUUUAAGUUAAAAAUAAACUUUUCUGGCGGACGAUUUACGCAAUAUUGUAUGAAGUUCAAUAUAGGUGGCGUCGAAAGUUUCUACACUACCUUUAUCAACUCGAACAGCUGUUUUACCUACACAAUUGCUUGUAACAUGUAUAAAAUUAACGUUUCUCUAUAAGUAGGUGAGUUUUACACUUUUUAAUUAUCAGUACAAUCCAUUUUAACGUUUACCC